GAUGAACGCUAGCUACAGGCAUAACACAUGCAAGUCGAGGGGAAACGAUAGAGAAAGCUUGCUUUUUCUAGGCGUCGACCGGCGCACGGGUGAGUAACGCGUAUCCAACCUGCCCAUCACUUGGGGAUAACCUUGCGAAAGUAAGACUAAUACCCAAUGACGUCUCUAGAAGACAUCUGAAAGAGAUUAAAGAUUUAUCGGUGAUGGAUGGGGAUGCGUCUGAUUAGCUUGUUGGCGGGGUAACGGCCCACCAAGGCGACGAUCAGUAGGGGGUCUGAGAGGAAGGUCCCCCACAUUGGAACUGAGACACGGUCCAAACUCCUACGGGAGGCAGCAGUAAGGAAUAUUGGUCAAUGGGCGAGAGCCUGAACCAGCCAAGUAGCGUGCAGGAUGACGGCCCUAUGGGUUGUAAACUGCUUUUAUAAGGGAAUAAAGUGAGUCUCGUGAGACUUUUUGCAUGUACCUUAUGAAUAAGGACCGGCUAAUUCCGUGCCAGCCGCCGCCGUAA
rnacentral:rRNA from 1 species